rnacentral:rRNA from 1 species
UACGGAAGCAGCAGUGGGGAAUAUUGCACAAUGGGCGAAAGCCUGAUGCAGCUAUGCCGCGUGUAUGAAGAAGGCCUUAGGGUUGUAAAGUACUUUCAUCGGGGAGGAAAAACAAAACUAAUAAUUUUAUUUCUUGACGUUACCCGAAAAAGAAGCACCGGCUAACUCCGUGCCAGCAGCCGCGGUAAUACGGAGGGUGCUAGCGUUAAUCAGAAUUACUGGGCGUAAAGAGCACGUAGGUGGUUUUUUUAAAGUCAGAUGUGAAAUCCCCUGGGCUUAACCUGGAAACUGCAUUUUGAAACUGAAAUACUAGAGUAUCGUAGAGGGAGGUAGAAUUCUAGGUGUAGCGGUGAAAUGCGUAGAUAUCUGGAGGAAUACCUGUGGCGAAAGCGGCCUCCUAAACGAAUACUGACACUGAGGUGCGAAAGCGUGGGGAGCAAACAGGGAUUAGAUACC